CUCAGCGCCACCCUACCCGGCGCCCAGUCGCCGGUCUGUGGCCUCUAGGGAUCGGGCGUCAGCCGGCAGUGUAAGCCGGCAAGUGGACAGCCGCGCGGGCGGACAGGUGGGCCCGACUUGCUCGUUAUCGGGAGAAAGGAUAGGGCCACUUUCUAGGGCCCCAGCAUCUCCCCAGUUCCAGGAGUCUGCCCAGCCCCGCGAGGGAGAAGCUGAAGGAGCAGCCGCGGGUCUACCGGGUACAGCCGCCGCCAUGGCUGCCAUGAUGGAUCGGAAGUGAGCCUCGGGGCCAGGGCUGCGGGCGCCGGCGUCUAGAGUCCCGGCUCCCCGGCCGCCCCUACCUGGGGAGGCGCGGCGCAGCGCGGCAGACGGCAGACUCUCAAGUCCCUUGCGACCCCGGACCCUCAGCUCAGGCCGCUCCCUCCAAGACUGAGAGGCGGGGAGUGGCUCCCGGCCUCUGGCCCCGGCUGCAAGGAAGAUGGCGGACCCAGCCGAGUGCAACAUCAAAGUAAUGUGUCGCUUCAGACCUCUCAACGAGUCUGAGGUGAACCGCGGCGACAAGUAUAUCGCCAAGUUUCAGGGAGAAGACACGGUCAUGAUCGCGUCCAAACCUUAUGCAUUUGAUCGGGUGUUCCAGUCAAGUACAUCUCAAGAGCAAGUGUACAAUGAUUGUGCAAAGAAGAUUGUUAAAGAUGUACUUGAAGGAUAUAAUGGAACAAUAUUUGCAUAUGGACAAACAUCCUCUGGGAAGACACACACAAUGGAGGGUAAACUUCAUGAUCCAGAAGGUAUGGGUAUUAUUCCAAGAAUAGUACAAGAUAUUUUUAAUUAUAUUUACUCCAUGGAUGAGAAUUUGGAAUUUCAUAUUAAGGUUUCAUAUUUUGAAAUAUAUUUGGAUAAGAUAAGGGACCUACUAGAUGUUUCAAAGACCAACCUUUCAGUUCAUGAAGACAAAAACAGAGUUCCCUACGUAAAGGGGUGCACAGAGCGUUUUGUAUGUAGUCCAGAUGAAGUUAUGGAUACCAUAGAUGAAGGAAAAUCCAACAGACAUGUAGCAGUUACAAAUAUGAAUGAACAUAGUUCUAGGAGUCACAGUAUAUUUCUUAUUAAUGUAAAACAAGAAAACACUCAAACAGAGCAAAAGCUGAGUGGAAAACUUUAUCUCGUUGAUUUAGCCGGUAGUGAAAAGGUUAGUAAAACUGGAGCUGAAGGUGCUGUGCUGGAUGAAGCUAAGAACAUUAACAAAUCACUUUCUGCACUUGGAAAUGUCAUUUCUGCUUUGGCUGAGGGUAGUACAUAUGUUCCAUAUCGAGACAGUAAAAUGACAAGAAUUCUUCAAGAUUCAUUAGGUGGCAACUGUAGAACCACUAUUGUUAUUUGCUGCUCUCCAUCAUCAUAUAAUGAGUCUGAGACAAAAUCUACACUUCUAUUUGGUCAAAGGGCCAAAACAAUUAAGAAUACAGUUUGUGUCAAUGUAGAGUUAACUGCAGAACAAUGGAAAAAGAAGUAUGAAAAAGAAAAAGAAAAAAAUAAGACCCUGAGGAACACCAUUCAGUGGCUUGAAAAUGAACUCAACCGAUGGCGUAAUGGGGAAACAGUGCCUGUUGAUGAACAGUUUGACAAAGAGAAAGCUAACUUGGAAGCUUUUGCAGUGGAUAAGGAUAUAAAUAUUACCAAUGAUAAACCAGCAGCCACAAUUGGAGUUACUGGAACUUUUACUGAUGGUGAAAGAAGAAAGUGUGAAGAAGAAAUUGCUAAAUUGUAUAAACAACUUGAUGACAAGGAUGAAGAAAUUAACCAACAGAGCCAACUUGUAGAAAAACUGAAGACACAAAUGUUAGAUCAGGAAGAGCUUUUGGCAUCUACCAGAAGGGAUCAAGACAAUAUGCAAGCAGAGCUGAAUCGCCUUCAAGCAGAAAAUGAUGCCUCUAAGGAAGAAGUAAAAGAAGUUUUACAGGCCUUAGAGGAACUUGCUGUCAAUUAUGAUCAGAAGUCUCAGGAAGUUGAAGACAAAACUAAGGAAUAUGAACUACUAAGCGAUGAAUUGAAUCAGAAAUCGGCAACUUUAGCAAGUAUAGAUGCUGAGCUUCAGAAACUUAAGGAAAUGACCAACCACCAGAAGAAACGAGCAGCUGAGAUGAUGGCAUCUUUACUGAAAGACCUUGCAGAAAUAGGAAUUGCUGUGGGAAAUAAUGAUGUAAAGCAACCUGAGGGAACUGGCAUGAUAGAUGAAGAGUUCACUGUUGCAAGACUGUACAUUAGCAAAAUGAAGUCAGAAGUAAAAACAAUGGUGAAACGCUGCAAACAAUUAGAAAGCACACAAACUGAGAGCAACAAAAAAAUGGAAGAAAAUGAAAAGGAGUUAGCAGCAUGCCAGCUUCGUAUCUCUCAGCAUGAAGCCAAAAUUAAGUCAUUGACUGAAUACCUUCAAAAUGUGGAGCAAAAGAAAAGACAGCUGGAAGAAUCUGUUGAUUGUCUCAGUGAAGAAUUAGUCCAGCUCCGAGCACAAGAAAAAGUCCAUGAGAUGGAAAAAGAGCACUUAAAUAAGGUUCAGACUGCAAAUGAAGUUAAGCAAGCUGUUGAACAACAAAUCCAGAGUCACAGAGAAACUCAUCAAAAACAAAUCAGUAGUUUGAGAGAUGAAGUUGAGGCAAAGGAAAAACUUAUAACUGAUCUUCAAGACCAAAACCAGAAAAUGAUGUUAGAGCAAGAACGUCUAAGAGUAGAACAUGAGAAGCUGAAAGCUACAGAUCAGGAAAAGAGCAGAAAAUUACAUGAACUUACUGUUAUGCAAGAUAGGCGAGAACAAGCAAGACAAGACCUGAAGGGUUUGGAAGAGACUGUGGCAAAAGAACUUCAGACUUUACAUAAUCUGCGCAAGCUCUUUGUUCAGGACCUGGCUACCAGAGUUAAAAAGAGUGCUGAGAUCGAUUCUGAUGACACCGGAGGCAGUGCUGCUCAAAAGCAAAAAAUCUCCUUUCUUGAAAAUAAUCUUGAACAACUCACUAAAGUACACAAACAGUUGGUACGGGAUAAUGCAGAUCUUCGCUGUGAACUUCCUAAGUUAGAGAAGCGACUUAGAGCGACAGCCGAGAGAGUGAAAGCUUUGGAGUCAGCACUGAAAGAAGCCAAAGAAAAUGCAUCUCGUGAUCGUAAACGUUAUCAGCAAGAAGUAGAUCGCAUAAAGGAAGCAGUCAGGUCAAAGAAUAUGGCCAGAAGAGGGCAUUCUGCACAGAUUGCUAAACCUAUUCGUCCUGGGCAACAUCCAGCAGCUUCUCCAACUCAUCCAAGUGCAAUUCGUGGAGGAGGAGCAUUUGUUCAGAAUAGUCAGCCAGUGGCUGUACGAGGAGGAGGAGGCAAACAAGUAUAAACAUUUACACAUCUUCACAGGGCUGAAGAUUGAACUCAGAACCUUUUACAUGCUAGGUGUUGAAAGUAAUUGAAGUAUGAAGAGGACAUAGUCAUUCAGUGACUGUCACUUCUACCCCCUUGGGAUAGUAGAACUAUAACUUUUUAAAAUGUACAAAUUAUACCUGGCCUGUACAGCUGUUCCUACCCGCUCUUGGAAACUCUGCUGCUUCCCAACACAACUAGAGUGCAAUUUUGAUGUCUUAGGAAGAGAAAAUGACAGUUUACAACUGUGGCCCUAUUUAUUACACAGUUUGUCUUUUGUGUCUUAAAUUAGUCUUCACUGUGCCAAGCUAACUAUACCUAGUAGGACUAUGCUUUUUAUAUUUGCUUUUUUAAUGGAUGUUUAAUUUUGAGUUUCUGUUUAAGUUACCUGGUUGCUACUGCUUCCUCUUUUUCUUUUCCUAUUACAUGUCUUCCUUUUUCUUUCUUUCUUUCUUUUUUUUUUUUAGGGAAAAUUGAAUCUUUAGAUUAAAUGUCUUACAUUUUACCACUUCCAACACUACAUGUCCACAAAAUAUAUCAGGUCAGUACUGUAUUUUAAAAUCCCUUGAAGUGAAAUCAGGGUUAAAAUGAUUUGUAUUAUCUCUGGUGUUUGCUUCUGAAAAUUGCUGUUUAAGCACUGAAACCUUACAACUGCCCUAACUAGGCGUUUGAGAUUGAGUGAGCACGGCUACUUGAUUGUUAUCCUCUGAAAUGCUUGUUGCCCACUUAUUGAAUGGAAAUAUUUUACAUAUCAAAAGUAAAUCUCAGUUUAAGAGGGAGUUAUCUCCCAUCCUCAUUUAUGCUUAACAUAGCUUAACGGAAUGAAAAUACCUUGCUUCAUUCUGAUGAGCCUGCUAGCUAAUAUAAGAAUUGGGCAGGUAUCAAUUUGUCAUCUUUCAUAUAGUAAAAUGAAUUAAGAUACUAUAAAAUUAAACAAUUUUAUAUUGUUAGUUAUUGUAUGGGCCGAUCUAAAUUUUUAGCCUAUGAAAAUUGAGGGGAAAAUGAAUAAACAGGACAGAUACACAGUGAAGUUAAAGAUAUGUAGGUAAAUUUUAGUCACAGUCUCUAAAGGUGUUUUUAACCUGCUACACUAAGUCAUACACUAUAAUUUAUUUCUCGUUUAGUCUAGAAAUAGUGAAUUGUUUGCAAAUCACUAAUAAUCCUCAAACAAAUUACAUUGUUGACCAUAGCCCAUAAUUUUGUGCAUAUAUAUAUAUAUAUAUAUAUAUAUAUAUAUCCACAUAUAUAUGUAUAUAUGUGUAUGUGUAUAUACACACACACAUAGUUUAUAUAAAACUAUGUACCAGUUUUUGCCACUUCUUCCUCAGAUCAUUAUACUAAGUCAACAGUUUAUUUUAGGGAAGAGAUUUCAAUGUUUGCUUCACCAUUGGUGGGGGGAGUGACUACAACUACAUUAGCAGAAGUAUGCAGUGAAUGUAGAGAAACUGGAGAAUUCUGUUAUUAGGAUACGGCUGGCAGAAUUAACUUUUUGAAAAAGUUUUAUACACAGAUAUUUGUAUUAUUAAAUUUGGAGCUAUUAGUCAGAAGACUCAGAUCAUAAUUGGCUUAUUUUUCUAUUUCCUUAACUAUUGUAAUUUCCACUUUUAUAAUAAUUUUGAUUUGAAAGAAAAAUUUAUUUAUUUAUUUUUUUAACAGUCAAAAAUCCUUGCUGUUGUAGUCUGCAGCCUUUAAAAUGAUUGUUGCUUUUAGAAUUGAUUAAAAGAAACACUCCAUAAAUUGAGAUGAAAUCUUGGGUGCAGUGAAAUAUAAGUACUACAGAUAAGAAAGUACUACAAGCCUCUUUGUGGUGAUAGUUUUUUAAAUGGAGAGACAUUUGGCUGCUUUCACAUAGACAUUUAUAUUUUGUUCUCAAGUGAAAACUUGCUUCUUUAGCAAUAUUCAUAAAAAAACUUUUUUUCUCGUCUGAAUACAGUAGUUUCUUGUAAGAUGUAUCAUGGGUAUGGUGCUGUGUAACAAACAAUGAAUUGUAACUAGCAUGUGGUUCAGAAUACACAGUGUUAGGUUUUUAAAAAUAUCUUAAUGGUUCUUUUCUAUUUAUAAUUUCAAAAUUUCAUAAAGUGUACCAGGAGUUUCAUAAAAAUUGUUUUCAGUGAACUGUUCUUUUUGCUAUGGUAGGUCAUUAAAUAUAGCAUUUACUCUCACAAAUUGAAAUGUCUGACCAUCUAGAAUAUUGACACUUAUUUCAAUUUACAGUCCUUUUUUUUUGACUGGAUAUAUUAAUGUUACUCUGAAUGGUAUUGAGUAAUGGUUCAGAAGAUAAACUCAGUGAAAUAAAAGUAAUAUUUAUUCAUGGUGAUCAAUUAAAUUAUUUGCUUAACUUAAGGAAACUGACUACUGUGCAUAACUCUUAAUUUGUAUGUGACUCUGAAUUUGACAUGAGGUGACAGAAUAGAGUCUGAGUCUACCUGUGGAAUAUGUUGGUUUAUUUUCAGUGCUUGAAAAACAUGCAAAGAUAAUUGGUUUGGGAAGACACCAUAUAAUUUUAAGUUAACCUGCAUGCUGUAAAUGUGUUUUAUGUUUCAAUAAAGAGGAAAAUUUUUUUGAAA